rnacentral:rRNA from 1 species
AGUGAACGCUGGCGGCAGGCCUAACACAUGCAAGUCGAGCGGAUGAAGAGAGCUUGCUCCUGUAUGCAUCGGCGGACGGGUGAGUAAUGCCUAUGAAUCUGCCUGGUAGUGGGGGAUGACGUCCGGGAACGGGCGCUAAUGCCGCAUACGUCCUGGGGGAGCAGGUGGGGGAUCUUCGGACCUCACGCUAUCAGAUGAGCCUAGGUCGGAUUAGCUAGUUGGUGGGGUAAGGGCCCACCAAGGCGACGAUCCGUAACUGUGCUGAGAGGAUGAGCAGCCACACUGGAACUGGAACAGGGUCCGAACUCCAACGGGAGGCAGCAGGGGGAAAUAUGGAACAAGGGGCGAAAGCCUGAUCAGGCCAGACGGGUGUGUGAAAGAAGGCUUUCGAGUGGUAAAGACUUUAUGUUGGGAGAAAGGGCAGUCAGUCAAAAACCCGGUGAUUUGAAGUUAACAAAAGAAUAAGGCACGGGUAAACUCGUG